ACCGAGGUGGUGAAAUUGGUAGACACGCUAUCUUGAGGGGGUAGUGCCUUCAGGCAUAUGGGUUCAAAUCCCAUCCUCGGUA
rnacentral:tRNA from 1 species